AACGAACGCUGGCGGCAUGCCUAACACAUGCAAGUCGAACGAGACCUUCGGGUCUAGUGGCGCACGGGUGCGUAACGCGUGGGAACCUGCCCUUAGGUUCGGAAUAACUCCCCGAAAGGGGUUCGAAUACCGGAUAAUGUCUUCGGACCAAAGAUUUAUCGCCUUUGGAUGGGCCCGCGUUGUAUUAGCUAGUUGGUAGGGUAAAAGCCUACCAAGGCGACGAUCCAUAGCUGGUCUGAGAGGAUGAUCAGCCACACUGGGACUGAGACACGGCCCAGACUCCUCCGGGAGGCAGCAGUGGGGAGUAUUGGACACUGGGCGAAAGCCUGAUCCAGCAAUGCCGCGUGAGUGAUGAAGGCCUUAGGGUUGUAAAGCUCUUUUACCCGGGAUGAUACUGACAGUACCGGGAGAAUAAGCUCCGGCUACACACGUG
rnacentral:rRNA from 1 species